GACGAACGCUGGCGGCGUGCCUAAUACAUGCAAGUCGAGCGCAGGAAACUGACGGAACUCUUCGGAGGGAAGGCAGCGGAAUGAGCGGCGGACGGGCGAGUAACACGUAAGGAACCUGCCUCAAGGAUUGGGAUAACUCCGAGAAAUCGGAGCUAAUACCGGAUAGUUCAACGGACCGCAUGGUCCGCUGAUGAAAGGCGCUCCGGCGUCACCUUGAGAUGGCCUUGCGGUGCAUUAGCUAGUUGGUGGGGUAACGGCCCACCAAGGAGACGAUGCAUAGGCGACCUGAGAGGGUGAUCGGCCACACUGGGACUGAGACACGGCCCAGACUCCUACGGGAGGCAGCAGUAGGGAAUCUUCCACAAUGGACGAAAGUCUGAUGGAGCAACGCCGCGUGAGUGAUGAGGGUUUUCGGAUCGUAAAACUCUGAUGUAAGGGAAGAACACGUACGAGAGGAAAUGCUCGUACCUUGACGGUACCUUACGAGAAAGCCACGGCUAACUACGUGCCAGCCGCCGCUGUAA
rnacentral:rRNA from 1 species